CCUACGGGGGGCUGCAGUGGGGAAUUUUGGACAAUGGGGGCAACCCUGAUCCAGCCAUGCCGCGUGCGGGAAGAAGGCCUUCGGGUUGUAAACCGCUUUUAGCCGGGAAGAAAAGGCGAGGGAUAACACCCUUCGUUCUUGACGGUACCGGCGGAAUAAGCACCGGCUAACUACGUGCCAGCAGCCGCGGUACUACGUAGGGUGCGAGCGUUAAUCGGAAUUACUGGGCGUAAAGCGUGCGCAGGCAUGUGAAAGCCCCGGGCUCAACUCGGGAAUGGCAGUGGAUACGGGCGGGCUUGAGUGUGGCAGAGGGGGGUGGAAGUCCGCGUGUAGCAGUGAAAUGCGUAGAGAUGCGGAGGAACACCGAUGGCGAAGGCAGCCCGCUGGGCUGACACUGACGCUCAGGCACGAAAGCGUGGGGAGCAAACAGGAUUAGAUACCCGAGUAGUC
rnacentral:rRNA from 1 species